CCUACGGGCAGCAGCAGUGGGGAAUAUUGGACAAUGGGGGCAACCCUGAUCCAGCCAUGCCGCGUGUGUGAAGAAGGCCCUCGGGUUGUAAAGCACUUUCAGUGAGGAAGAACGCCUGGUGGUUAAUACCCAUCAGGAAAGACAUCACUCACAGAAGAAGCACCGGCUAACUCCGUGCCAGCAGCCGCGGUAAUACGGAGGGUGCGAGCGUUAAUCGGAAUUACUGGGCGUAAAGCGCGCGUAGGUGGCUUGAUAAGCCGGUUGUGAAAGCCCCGGGCUCAACCUGGGAACGGCAUCCGGAACUGUCAAGCUAGAGUGCAGGAGAGGAAGGUAGAAUUCCCGGUGUAGCGGUGAAAUGCGUAGAGAUCGGGAGGAAUACCAGUGGCGAAGGCGGCCUUCUGGACUGACACUGACACUGAGGUGCGAAAGCGUGGGUAGCAAACAGGAUUAGAUACCCUUGUAGUC
rnacentral:rRNA from 1 species